UUUUUUGAAAGCCAUUGAAACAGGCCUCAAACGGUGUUGUUGCUCAGUCACUAUAAAAACUAAAAAAACAAGAUUAAAAUGUGUUAGCCACUUUAAAAACAGAAUGGCAAAACCCUAGCCAUUAACUGUUCGGAAUCCUAGCCAUUCCAAGGCCCUUCGAUCCUCGCCAGAACUCCGAUUGUGACGGAGUGGGCAAGGAUUCAACAACACCAGGUAAUUUACUCGCCUUUUAACUGUUUCAUUUUCUUUUUUACACACAUUGAGCAAACAAAAUGGAUGAUUCAAGAACAGAAAAGAAAAGCAACGAAAAGAGAAAAAAAUAUCAAAUCACCUUUAGAAAAUUCUAUUUUUUUCUUCUUAGAUUUCUUUCUGGAAGUUUUUUUUCUGUAUCCCCUUUUACAAAUUUGCAAUCGACCUUAUAUAGCCGAAACAAUAAAUAAAAAUAAAUAAAAAUUAUUUCUGUUAUUCUGCUAUUUGUUGUUGUUGCUAUGCUAUUGUUUCUGUUUUUAGGUGAAACCACCGUAUGUAGGAGCCGUUCGUGGGGUGACGUGGAAGGGGCUAGAGGCGCGCGUGUAGGGGGAGCAGUGGCUGAAGGUUCUAGGGUUUUUUUUUAAAGUUUUGGGCUAAUUUGGGUUUUAGGCUUAGUAUUUUAGGUAGUAUUUUAGGCCUGCUAUUUUAUUGGAUUUGUAAUAAAAAAUUGGACUGUUAUUGGACUUUUAAUAAUUUGGACUUAUUUUAUGUUGUUUUUUAUUUGGUUUUUAAUUUAUUUUUUCAAUCGGGCUCAGGCAAAUUGGGCUAAUUACAGAAUCUAUCACCUCUUUGAGUCUCAUUGAUCCAUCAAUUUCAUUCAUGUGGGAGAUUGUUGGAAAAUAAUUGUUGUAUGAUG
rnacentral:lncRNA from 1 species